rnacentral:rRNA from 1 species
GACGAACGCUGGCGGCGGGCCUAACACAUGCAAGUCGAACGGAAAGGCCCUGCGUUCGUGGGGUGCUCGAGUGGCGAACGGGGGAGUAACACGUGAGCAACCUGCCCUUGUUUUUGGGAUAACUUCACGUAACUGGGGCUAAUACCGGACCGGAGCUCCUCUACCAUGGUGGGCGUUGGAUAGUCUCGGCGGUCGGGGAUGGACUGGCGGCUGAUCAGCUUGUUGGUCGGGGAGUGGCUUACCAAGGCAUUGACGGGUAGCCGGCCUGAGAGGGUGACCGGGGUCAUGAGUCCUGAGGUACGGCGCAGACUCCAACGUGAGGCAGCAGUGGGGAAUAUUGCACAGUCGUAGGAAGCGUGAUGAAGCAACGCCGCGUGUGGGAUGACGUCCUGCUGGUUGAGAACCGCUUUCGCCUGUGACGAAGCGGGAGUGACGGUAAUGGGUAAAUAAGCACCGGCUAACUACGUG